rnacentral:rRNA from 1 species
UACGAAGGGGGCUAGCGUUGCUCAGAAUCACUGGGCGUAAAGCGCACGUAGGCGGAUUUCUAAGUCAGGGGUGAAAUCCUGGAGCUCAACUCCAGAACUGCCUUUGAUACUGGGAAUCUCGAGUCCGGGAGAGGUGAGUGGAACUGCGAGUGUAGAGGUGAAAUUCGUAGAUAUUCGCAAGAACACCGGUGGCGAAGGCGGCUCACUGGCCCGGUACUGACGCUGAGGUGCGAAAGCGUGGGGAGCAAACAGG